AACAUAAUAGUAUUCAUAUGGUCAAACAUGCAUGUGAAAUCCUUGGUGGGCUUUUGCUUUGGAAUUUCUACAGCUCAUCACAGUGUUCCCAGAGUCACAAAGUCCCUUGUGGUAGAAAAAGCUGCAGGACCCACCACUUCCACUGGCCAUCACCAGGACCAGCCAUUCCAUGCCACCAGCCUUGUCCUACAUCAGAGGAGAGGAAUUAUUGGGAAAGAUUUGUAAUUUUUACAGCUUUGUUCUGCCUAAAGGAAGAUAUUCUGGUCAAGUCUAUGAGGCUCAGCUUUGUUUCCUGAAUUUUGAAAGCAAAACUUCUCAGGAGGAUAAACAAUGGGCAUUUAAGCUAGAGUCUUAAAAGGGAAUAAAUGUUGCUUGUGUUAUGUCUCAUAAAGCUUGAGAAGUGUAAGAUGCAUCUCAAAAGUUAAGAGGAAGACUUAGGGACAGUCAGUGAGGCUCACAGCAACAGUGGGGACAGCAGAGGUGGCUACAGUAAGUUCUGGGGGCUGAGUAUGAGACCAAACUGGGCAGGGGGUUCCUGGAGUCAGGGACAACCAAGCAAGGGUCUAGAGGAGAAGUCACACUAGGAACAGCUGAAGUCACUUGUUCAGCCUGGAGAAGCCCUCACAGCUGUCUGCAGCUUCCUGGUGAGGGACAGUGGAGUGGCAGGCACUGAUCUCUUGUCUCCGGUGACCAGUGACGGGACUCUAGGGAACAGCAUGAAUCUGAGUCAGGGGAGGUUUACGUUGGAUAGUAGGAAAAGGUUCUUCACCUAGAGGGUAGUUGGGCACUGGAACACGCUCCCCAGGUAAGUGGCCACAGCACCAAGCCUGAGAGAGUUCAAGAAGCGUUUGGACAACGCUCUCAGGCACAUGGUGUGACUCUUGGGGUGUCCUGCGCAGGGCCAGGAGACGGACUUAAUGGUCUUUGUGGGUCCCUUCCAGCUCAGGAGAGUCUGUGAUUCUGUGAUUCAGUGAAGAGCUGAGUGUCCCGCAGGAACCGACAGCUCUGGCAGGCGGGACUGAUGUGCCCGGGGCGUUGCCAGGGGCAACCGCGGCAGAUUCCGGUGACGCCGGAAUCUUCCGUCGGCGAGGCGAGCGGCGACAGCGAUGGCGCUACACAUCCUGUCAAGAUUUACUGCCCACCCCCACUGGAAUGAACCUUCCGCUGGUGAAAAAAAUUACUGCAGCACAACCACCUGUGUCGACUGCUGGACCGCAUACGAAACAAUGGACAAAGAAUUCUAAUCACCAUUCAUCACAAUGCAGAAGAGAUACACCAUGGCUUGGAAAGAAUAAACCUCAGUGGUGGGACAUUUUUUUCAUGUGGUUACCACAAACAAUAGGAAUUCUAAAUCUAAUGCUGCAUUGUAUUGGAAUUUUCCUGAUUUAUGUCGUGUUACGCUUAUUGUUGAAUAUUGUUCUAUAUCUUAGAGUGUGCAUAUUAGCAUUGUCACACAGAUCUUUUCAGGUAUACAUAAAAAAAAAAAAUCAGUUAACCUGAUCAAAAAUUUCCCUCGAUUUAUAAUUGCAGCAUAAUGUAUCUCUGUUAAAAGCAUAGAGGCAAAUUGGUGACCACACCAUCACUCUGGAACAAGAGAGAUAACUUCAAUCACAGGGUGGAUUGUGGUGAUACUGGAGGUAGUGGAAACAGGUCCCUUGUUGAGGUGACAGACGAAUCCCUACUGGCCUCCUGUGCCUUCCCAGGGGCCCUUAAACAAGAGGUAUGAGGCUCUGGAACAUGAGGGACAGGCAAAUGACAAUGUAGAUGAAGAUCCAUCCUGGGGAUUGCCUAGGGCCAGUCAGUGAACCCCACACAUUAAAACUGCCUCAAGUUCAAUUUUCACCAAAGUCAAACUUCUAGUAGCAAAAAUUACUUUUUUGUUUUCUUUGUAAUUCCAUGACGUUAGGGCGAGCAGGAGGCACUGCUCUGCAAGUUUAAAAGCCCACUAAAAAGUUUAUAGUUUUUAUCCCCAAAUCCAUAUUGUCUAAUUAGCAUCCUCUAUCACACAACAUAUUCAAAUCCUGUGCUUCCAAUAAUCACCUCCAAAAGAAUGAAAUUUCAGUAUUUGAUCCCCAAGAAAGGUGAUACAGAUAGGCAUUACAUAGUUUCCUUUUUUCUUUUGUUAAAUUAAAGCAAUAUUUUAAAUAUCCUGAAUAUAAAUUUUGUUUGCCUCUUUUACUAAAAGGUCUGAAGGAAAGGCAGGAGAUGGUCUUAUUUCCUUAGCAACAGAGUCAGGUGUGAUUUAUGCCACUGUAUGUUCCUGCAGCUGUCUCCAAGCAACAAAACAAACUGCAGUGCCAACUCUUGUAGGCACAAUAUAUGGAGAGGGCUGAGAGAAAACUUUGGAGCCUGAAUAUCUAUCCCUGGCAUCAAAGAAGAGGCAAGACUGAACAGACAUGGGUUUUUCAUAGAAAUAAAUAAAUAAUCUAAGCAUAUCAGUUCAGCCUGCCAAAUCCUCAGCAUGCAAAGAAUAAUCUACUUUAAAUCACUCAGUUUAGAAGACAGCUGUAGAUGUCUUAACACUUUACCAAGGCUUUGCCUUAGCUUAUGAAAGUGGUACCACUCUGUCUCCUGUCUCUGAGCUCAGAGGAAUCUACUCAGAGUCUCUGUUCAGCAGUUCUUGCAGAAAAUGGAGUAAUUGCAUAGAAGAAAAAUCAGUAAUAAUUUACUGUUAAAGUAGUUGCCAGAAUUUGCCAAACUUAAUUUGCCAUUUCAAAGCUAUUUCCUCUUUGAAGUAAAGAGGCUUGCAUCUAUGAUUGUAUCAUGUUGGCAAACACUGUUUCUAAAUAACAACUGUAAAUCUAGGGAGGCUUGCCAAAUACAAUCAUGACAGAUAGUGAUAUUUUCCUGAAAAAAAUUUACAGUUUUUGUUAAGGUGAAAUUUGCUUUGGAAGCUGAGAUAUUAUGAGCGAAAGCUGCUGUUUAUGCAUCAGCCUCCACAAGGCAAUGCUUUUUAGGUGCUUUUCAGGUGCAGAGCUAAGACCUGUGGGUGAAAGCAAGAAAGCAAGCAACCACUUGCUUGUGUCAACAUUUUGUCUCCACUACUAUCUUAGUCUUACUGGAAAUUCAUAAAACCUCUGAAAUGCUGGGAUCUCCCCAGUGGUCGCCACCCGCUGAUGCUGGAACCAAUGUACCAUUGUUUCACACUUCUGAGCACAUGCUGUCCAUGCCAGCCUUGAUGCAGAGCAGGCAGAGAGCAUCACCUCUCCCUGGCAUUUCCCUGCCACAUCAGCAUGAGCAUGAACUUGGUGUGUUUUCUUUCAGUCUGUGUCAAAUGGAAAACACCCGCAGGCCAGGGUCCUCCCCCUCUUGUAGCCUGGGUGUAACACCAGCAUCUACAGCUUCCAUUGUCAGUAAGCAGAGGAAAAACUUUUAAAAGACCAGUAGACCAGCCCUCAUUUUUAGGGUUCAGCUUCAAAUGGCAACAAUGAUGUGGCUGCAUGAAGAUCUCUUGAGAGCCGGGUCACUAGGACUAGAUUUGUAUCUCUACUCCUGGCUGCACUGGUCAGGGUUUAUCCCAGCCCACAGUUAACCACAAUUCCUGACUUUUCCAGACAGAAAUCAAUUUACCACCAUCCUUCAAACCUUCAAGGUUUCAAUUCCUGGGCUUCUACCUAAGCAGUUGUACUCUGAAGUCAGUCUGCCUAAUUUCAGCACAUUAGGCAAUACCCUCCUUGCCUUGUACUUGUGAAGUCUGCUUGAUUGUUUUGGGGUUUUUUUUCACUUGUGUAUGUUUAUGCCAAAUGGUUUCCUCCUCCAUUUCAUUUUUGGAUUUUUUUUUCUUUUGGUUGGUUGGUUGGUUGGUUGGUUGAUUUUUUGGGUUUUUUUCCGUUGUUUUUGGGCCUCAUCCUUUUGGAAAAGUAACAGCAGAGUCUUAAUGCAGGGAUUUUCUACUUAUUAGACCAUCGACCUUUACCUCAUGUAUUUGUACUGAAUUUAAAAGUCAUAUUUCUGUCAAGACCUUCUCUACGAGAGUUCUCACUGAAGUCUUUUUGCAAUACUCUACCAAAAUUCUCAUCAGCUGGUGGCUGUUCCUUAAUUUAAAAAGAGCCUAAAACUGUAAUGCAUAAUGUUGAUUUUUUUAAGUAACAUUUUGACCUGAAAUGAUAAAUUCUUGCAGUAGUAUAACCCUGGAUUUAUGCUCAAUAUUGUGUGAAAAAAACUUUAGGCUUUGCACAUAUAAACUCCCAUUGACACUGCUUCUGUAGAUCAGAUCUCACUGCAAUUUUCAAUUUUAAAAAGUAAAUACACAAGAUCUUUUAGACCCGAUGCAGUACCAAAAUCAGGCUUGUUUUUCCAGUUGUUUUUUUUUACCCAACAUAACCAAACACAUAAUUUUACAUCGAAAAGGAAUCUCUCAGAGCUUUGGGAAGUGCUAACUGCCCCUAUAGCUACAAAAUAGUUAGGAUGAGUCUAGUUUCUUUUAUAAGCUACGAAAGAACUUUAACCAUGGAAAUAGUAUCACCAGAUUUGUGGGACUACCUGCAUGUCUGGUUCUAUCAACAAGCUGAAAUACCUUUUUCCUUAAUUUGGGAUGCAAAUUCUGAUUCAGUUUUAUGGCAUACACCUGUCUUCUACUCCUGCGCUGCUUACCCUGUAAAAUGGCACGAGAUACUAAAAUUGAGAAACUGAUUCUCUACUGGAAACACAAGGAAAGGCUUUCUGGGUCUCACAGAGACCCAAAGAGCCUCUAGAUACUUCUAGAAAAAUAUAAAUGUCCCUCUUCUCACAUACAUGCAUUUGCAUGAGGUUUUCUGGUAUAAAACCUCUGCAAAAGGAGAACCAGACCUGUGGAAAAUGCAAAUGCAUUUUGGUUGUUUUAAUAUUCACCUGCUUGUUAUUUGUAUCUGUAAUUUUACACAAUUUUAUAUACUUUUAAUAUGAAGUUUGAAAUUACCACAAUGGAAAUAUAACUCUCUUUUAUGCUUUCCUGGGAUUGCAGCCUCUUAUACUUGAAAGAAUGAAAAAAAUGCUUCAAGGCACACAAUUUUUUUUUUUUUUUACUUCGAUAAUCUCUCCUGCAGGAACAUUUAAAGGAUGAGCUAAAAGUGUCAAAAGUUUUAUUAUUCAUCAGCAGACUAUCCUUUUCAUUAGCCAUUAUGCCUCAUGUGCACUUGUUUGCUUCUAGGAAGCUCAUUUUAUAUGGCGUACCUUUGGUUUUGUUCAUUAUUUUAAUUGAAAUAAGCACCCAACAGUUGUUAGAGCUAAGGUUUUACCUUAAUCUUUUACCCUUUAGCUUGUUCAUAAAUACCAAUUUCUUCAGUGUCCUAGUGAGGCUGCUCAUGGAUUUUCAGUCUGUGUUUAGUGCUGCAUAGAGAGCAGUCAGACUAUGGGAUAAUAGAAGACAGAUUUCUACACUAGUCCUAGUAGAACUAAUUAAAUUUGGAGGUGAAACGGGCUGUCAGCAAGCCUGUGUGUCAUAGUUCCCUUGGAAGAGUUGGAGGUAGUCUUUUCCAUCAAAUCACUGCAAUACCACUCCAUUUCUAGGAGUAAGUUGAUGCAAAACAGUAAUAAUUAAAUCCACCACCUGAGAAGCCUGGGAGGAAGAUGAAUUUAAUGCAAACCCAGACACAGCCACGGGGUUUGUAUGGAAAUUGUGCCCUCAGGGCUGGACAGCAGCAUCUGGGGACCCAAACACUGGCCAGCAACUUCAGGUUGGUGGGUGCCCACUCUAAAAGGACGUUCUCCAUAAAUCCUGCCCUCUCUCCUCCUCGAAACUCCUGAAAUGAACUUAAGGUCCACCAGACACUCUCCUCUCCCCAUUAAUCCACAAAGCUAUGGCUUGUCGUGAGGGGAGAGGUCAAGAGAGGAGCACAGUCCUAUGUCCCCUCUCUUCAUUGGACCAAAAAGGUUAAAUGGGAUGAUGGCGGACAAGCACCUUCCCUCCUGGAAUGACUCUCUACACUUCAGGAAAGAAACAGUGAACAGACUUUGCUUCUGAACCCUUUUGAGGCAGCUCAACAUUGAAGUCUUUAUGUCCCAAAAUCUACACUUUCUGCUUUUCCUUCCUUUCUUAUUGUCAUAGAAAUGAAAAAGCAUCGGUGAAAUGUCUAUGCUUGACAUUUUUGAGAUGAGUUUCAAGCUCUUCCAGCAGCACUGAAGUAUGUAUCUGGAAGUUUGGGGUUUUUUGAUUGGUUGGCGGGUUUUUUUUUCCCUAUUCUUUUCCUUUGACUUCCAUUGAACUGUGUUGCACAUUUGCAAAUUUCUCUCAAUGACAUACAUGUCCUUUCCUGAACAUUUUUCUCCAGUCUAUGUGACUUGAAAAAAUGCCUAAUGAAGUAGUCUUCUGUGCCUGUACCCUGCAUCCUAAACACACGUUAGCCCUAGAGGUACCAAUUCCCACUUGACAUGCAAAACCCAUCUGCAAGUAGUUCUUGCUUCUUUACUCACUGUCUAGAAGAGUAAUUUUUCAUUCCCUGAUGAAGCUUUAACCAGUAAAAGAUCACAAUGGCUCCAUUUAAAAUUUCCCUAAACAGCAAUAAAAUGUUAUUAAUCCCUGCCCCCUCCCUGGUCCCAGAUCCACUAACAGCCAUCAUAAACACAGCAGAUUGGGCUAUUUGUCUGUGCUUCAGCUCAUGUAGGAAUAAUUUUCUGUUUGAUUCUUCAAUCAGAUCUGCAGACUUUCAAUCAGCUGCCUCUUGUAUUCUCAACCCACACAAGUCAGGAAAAUUGUCAUCUUUUAAAAGCAAAUAUUGUACCUUUCCAGUUACAUUUUCAUUUAAAAAAUAAAUCAAUAGAGUUUGCAACUGAUAACCAGAUUAUGAUUGCUUUUAAGAGUCUGGUAUCUUUCCCAUGAGGUAAUCUGACAGCACAACAAAAUACAUCUAUUUAUUAUGAGGAACACUCAUGUAUUCAAUCAGCCUGUUUUAAAAGAGGCCAUAAAUGAGAUUUAGGAUUUUAAACAGCCUCGGUAACUUUCCUUCCUCUUAAUUUCCAGCUGCUUGAUUUUUAUAAGUCCUUCUCUCCUGAGGAGAGUUUUUAAGAACGCUUAAAGACUUUUAUAUAUGUACAUACAUCUGGAUAUGUACACCUCUACUCAUAUAAUGAAGUAAGAAACUUCUUUUUAUGCCUAUUUCACAGAAUCUAAAAGGUGGCAAGCUCCUUUGUUCUCUGCACAGCUUAUUUGAAGAUGUUCCUCCCUGCAUUGUCCCUGUUUCCUCUCUGCAUCCCUGUUUCCUCUCUACAGCUUUCGCCCCCAGCCCAAAUACAGGCACUGAUCCCUGCCUGAAAACACCUGUCCCAAAAGCAGAGGCAAAGAGCAACUCUAAAAUAAUUAUAUCAAAUAGUGCCCCAGCACUAUUUGUCUUGCAGCAUAGGGCUGUUUGUACAUUCAUAGUACAGGGAAAAUGUUCUUUUCACUCUAAGGUUGGAACUCAGAGUGCAUGAAAAGCAAGACAGAAGAUGCAUGCAGAUAUAUUUUUUAAGUGUUCCUGUAACGCUUUAAAACACUAUUCAUUGGAUGUCUCUGCUUAAUUCUGAAUAGAUUCACUGGGGAUUUUUGUCAUUAAAGAAGGUUUAUGUCUGAAGUGCAUUAUAUUCAUGCUUUAGUACCACAACAUUUCGUUGAAGAGGUUCAGAUGCUGGUCUUAUGCCUGUGAUUGUCACCAGCCAUGGACAUGAUGAGGCUGAGUGAGCACAUUUUCCAUCCCGCCAACACAUGGUCCAUGAUCUCUACCAGUUCCUUGAGCUCCUGGCAGGGGCUGACAAACAGGGUUGUGAUGUGGCGCUGAACUGCUCCCCUGCGUGGGACAGUGUUCAGUGCUGGAGACCAAACUGAGUGCCAAACUCCUGCUCUCACCUGUUGACCUUGGUGGAAAGCCAUGGUACGUUAAGUGGGUAAAGCUAGGAAAAAUAUAUGGUAGAAACUCUGAUGGGUUUUCUGUCUUUUCUCCUCUACGUUGCAUUCCGUUUUCAUGACUGCUGAUAUUACUAUAGGCACCUAAUCAGAAUUAGGUCAAUCUCAUUACAGAGGGAGCAGUGCUUUAAUGUCAGAAAAGGCCAGAAAGCCACCCUUCUGGAAGCAAGAGUUUUCCAUGGAAUGAGAGACAGCUUUAAGGCCAGAGACCCCAGAGUUAAGCCCUUACAUCCAACUCCCCAGAUAGAACAGGAGCAAUGAGAGGACACUUUCUGUUGGAAUCGUUACUAGCAGUAUGUGUUAAAGCAUUCCCAUUUCUAUUCCCUGGCCCAAGUCAGCCCUGUGGUGUAAAAGCUCCAGGAAAGGCAAGGGCAACGCUGCUGCUGGCUCAUCACCUGCAUCACUGCUGGGGGCUGCACGGACUCUGGCCAUGCACAGGGCUAGAGCUACUUUUAUUUCCCUACUUUCACAGAACUGGUUUAAUCAGAGAUGAAGGUUAAAGUUUCUUCCGUUUCAGAACUGCUUGUUUCUAGCAAUUUGGUAUCAUUGUGUACUUGGACCUGCAGUGGUUUCCAGCCACUAAGCCAGCACUGCUCAGGUGCUGUGCACAUCAGGCUGGAGCCCAUCCCACUGCUGCAUGGCUGCAAGCCCUGCACUUCCUGGGACACGAGCUGGGAGAGGCAGCUUCCUGAUGAAAAUGCACAUGCACUCAAGCUCCAUUAGCACCUUUCUUCCUACAAAUUCCAGCAUUUGUUUCUCCUGCUGCCUUCUGGCUGCUUAUCAGUGUUAGGUGCAUCUCACUGCUACUUAACAAAGGCAAAGACACGCCCCCACUGUGACAGUUUUACCAUAUAUAACAUUUCAUAAUGCUCAAAUUACACCAGACUGAGUUAAAAGCCUGAUCUACAUGCUUUUUUCAGGAUGAAUUGAUGUGAAAUACCAUAUCAACACCACAUAAAAGGUAUUCAUUCAUGUUGUCAUGCAUUUUAUUCCUGUUCUCUUUUUGUUUUGCCAAAGAAAAGUUGAUUCAUGUUGUGAAGCUAUAAUUAUAUGUGAGUUUUCAUCUGCUAUAGGUCUUUCACUUCUCUAGUUCCUUCUCUAGAUUUUAUAAUUUUUGAUAACACGAGGAUGCAUACAAUAUCUUCACAAGAUUAAAUAAGACUGCAUAACUAUGUUAAGCUAAAUAUCCAUUUACAAUUCAAUAGCUGCCUACAUCAAUGUAAACAGUGUGUGCCCCGUCUCUAAGAAACUUCAUGUUUGUGCUAUGUGAAGGGAACAUUUAAAUGGAAAUUGGAAGUAAAAUAAAAUACAUGUAGCAGAAUUCAA